GCUCUCUGAGGAGCUUUCAAUACUUUGGGGUCAAGUUUGAGGCAGUUGUAACUGUACUGAGUUUAGUUUUGCUAAUAAUGGUAUUCUACGUGUGUCAGCCUCGUGUGGACUUCUGUAAUGACUAAUGGAUAUGUUUAUAUCCUGAGCAUUUGCUGUAGGAAUUUUAAAUGCAAUCCCAAAACUCAAGAUUACCUUAUUUGGAGAAAUAUUCGUGUUACUAUGUUUAAAAUUUAAUAGAACCAUAUUUUACCUUUCACUUUGGGACUCGCACAGGAUGUUUGCAGCUCUUGAUAUACAGGAACUAGAACGUGUCUUUUAAGAGCAUGCGGUUUUAUAAUUACGUGGAAGUAUGCUACGCAAGGGAAAAAAGCCUCUUGCUAGUGUUAAGGGUCUUCAUAAACAGAAACCGCAAGGAACCUGGGAUCUGACAGCUGUUGGAGGAAUGCCUGUGAGGAAGGAGGAGGAACAGAAGGUCUUUAAAUAAUGACUCCAUCAACCAAUUGCCAAUCAGAAAACCUCUGAAUCCACCUAUGACCUGGAAGUCCCUGUUUUGAGUUGUUCCACCUUUCUGAACCAAACCAAUGUAUACCCUACAUGUAUUGAUUGAUGUCUUAUGUCUCCAUGAAACACAUAAAAUUAAGCUGUAACCCAA
rnacentral:lncRNA from 1 species